UUGCCACCAGUCAACACUGAGAAAGUACAA
rnacentral:piRNA from 1 species